rnacentral:tRNA from 1 species
GGGCCCGUAGCUCAGCGGUUAGAGCAGCGGACUCAUAAUCCGUUGGUCCCAGGUUCGAAUCCUGGCGGGCCCACAA